CCAACAUUUAGAGCAUACUGAAUCUAUUCUGCUUCUAUUCAACUAAAUGGAACAUUCCAAGGAUUCAAUGGAUGGGACCUUUCUUCUCAGUCAUCCCCAUGAUAACAGCAUAAAGUCACUGAGCUCCACGGGAUUAGGAAGCUCACCAUUGAUUAUUCUCGCUGGCCAGGCAAAGCCUGGACUUUAGGAGCCGGCUAUGGAAAAGUGAGCAAAUAUGGAGAUGGAAACUCUGGGAGAAAUCCAGGGGUAAGGAAAUUUUAUUUCUUAUGCCCAUGUGGCCUUGGUGGCUUCCCUUAUCUAUAUGCAGUGUCUGGCUCUCAGUCAGUACUCAGGAGUUGCUUGCUGGGGACCGUGUGUGUGUGUGUGUGUGUGUGUGUGUGUGUGUGUGUGUGUGGUGUUUGUGAUAUUAUGAUGCUAACUGGGGCCUCAGAAGAACCCCCCACAUGAUUUCAUCUUUGAACAAGUGUACACGGGAUAAGGAUUAGCCAAGAUACACUGGACUUGGAGCUACAGAAU
rnacentral:lncRNA from 12 species